AUUGAACGCUGGCGGCAGGCUUAACACAUGCAAGUCGAGCGAGCGGCGGACGGGUGAGUAAUGUCUGGGAAACUGCCUGAUGGAGGGGGAUAACUACUGGAAACGGUAGCUAAUACCGCAUACCAUCAGAUGUGCCAAGUGGGGAUUAGCUAGUCGGUGGGGUAAUGGCUCACCUAGGCGACGAUCCCUAGCUGGUCUGCGAGGAUGACCGGCCACACUGGAACUGAGACACGGUCCAGACUCCUACGUGAGGCAGCAGUGGGGAAUAUUGCGCAAUGGGCUCAAGCCUGAUUCAGCCAUGCCGCGUGUGUGAAGAAGGCCUUCGGGUUGUAAAGCACUUUCAGCGAGGAUGCGUUACUCGCAGAAUAAGCACCGGCUAACUCCGUGCCAGCAGCCGCGGUAAUUC
rnacentral:rRNA from 1 species